rfam:Pteropus alecto contig66950, whole genome shotgun sequence.
GUCUACAGCCAUGCCAUCCUGAACCUGCCGGAUCUCAGCUGAUCUUGGAAGCUAAGCAGGGUCUGGCCUGGUUAGUACUUGGAUGGGAAACCACCUAGGAAUACUAAGUGCUGUAGGCA